UACGUAGGGGGCUAGCGUUGUCCGGAAUCAUUGGGCGUAAAGCGCGUGUAGGCGGUUCGGUAAGUCCGCUGUGAAAGUCGGGGGCUCAACCCUCGAAUGCCGGUGGAUACUGUCGGGCUAGAGUGCGGAAGAGGCGAGUGGAAUUCCUGGUGUAGCGGUGAAAUGCGCAGAUAUCAGGAGGAACACCAAUUGCGAAGGCAGCUCGCUGGGACGUAACUGACGCUGGAGACGCGAAAGCGUGGGGAGCAAACAGG
rnacentral:rRNA from 1 species